rnacentral:rRNA from 1 species
GUCGAACGCUGGCGGCGUGCUUAACACAUGCAAGUCGAACGGAAAGGCCCUGCUUUUUUGUGGUGCUCGAGUGGCGAACGGGUGAGUAACACGUGAGUAUCCUGCCCUUGACUUUGGGAUAACUUCAGGAAACUGGGGCUAAUACCUGAUAGGAGCUCCUGCUGCAUGGUGGUGUUUGGAACUCUUCGGCUGUUGGGGAUCGACUCCCGGGUUACCAGCUUGUUGGUGGGGUAGUUGCUUACCGAGGCAUUGGCGGGUAGCCUGCCUGAGAGGUUGGACAGGCACAUUGGGACUACGGUACGGCCCAGAGUCCUACAGGAGGCAGUAGUGGAGAAUAUGACACAAUGGGCGGGAGCCUGAUACAACAGCGCUGCGUGCGGGAAGACGGCCUACGGGUUGUAAACCGCUUUCGCCUGUGACGAAGCGUGAGUGACGGUAAUGGGUAAAGAAGCACCGGCUAACUACGUG